CGAGUGGCCGUAAACGCAGAAGUGGUUAUCAUAAAGCAGUUUGAAGUGACGUAACACAUCCUAUAAAUGCUUUUGCGACAAACCCAGACGUUCUCAUUCUGCGCUGACCUGGUGUGAGUUAUGGUGGCCAUUCUACAGGCGAAGGCCUCGUUUUCCAUGACAAAACGGUGCUGUAAUCGGUCGGCAAUGGCUGUUCCCACCUCCAACACCAUUCUCAUCCGUUAGUAAAUGUAUCACCACGGAGAAACAAUCCCAGAAAACACAGUGCAGUUCGAGACACGUUGCAAAGGCCAGGGUGUGACCUUAUUGCAGAAUGUAGUUAUCCAACGAUUUGGGAUGACCCUCUUGAGACAUGAGGUGCUUGAUAAGUCCUGAGGCCAGCUGGGUUUCCUCACUGUCCAGGUCUCCAGCAAUGAUGCCCCAGCAUCAUGUUUGAGCUGCAGCAAUGAUGGCCUCCUGAUGCCCAAUUGGAGUAGGGCUUCAAUGACAAAGGUCACAGUGAUGGUAUAAACAUUGCUCAAGAACUUGUGACAGUGGUUUGAGCUGCAGCAAUGAUGGCCUCCUGAUGCCCAAUUGGAGUAGGGCUUCAACGACAAAGAAUCCCUGAAAGCAUCUUGGAGACAUGAAGGUCAGCAGCCUCUCAUUCUAAGGAGCAGCAGAAUGGUGCGGCUGUGGGGACACCUGUCCACACUGAGCUGCUGUCACUCAUCCUGACAAAAAUAACUUGCUUCUGAGAAUCACCCAUCUAAAAUCAGCUCUGUUUACUGCAACAUAUUUAGCCCAGUCUUUUUUCUACUGUGUACUUCAUAACUAAUAAAAUAUCUUGACUCUG